UUUCCGUUGGUGAACCAGCGGAAGGAUCAUUAAAAAUAAGUGAAUUUAUGGCCCCUUAAAGUCCGUAUCCACCUUGUGUGCAACGUUUUAAGGUCUCUCUAUCAUUUCGCCGGCUGCAGAAUGUUUGUUCUACAGCCGCGGAAGGCCAGAUACGGAGGCUUUUUAUCUCAUAAUUCUUGCUCUUUACCAAAUUUGUCUGAAUAUAUAUUGCGCAUUACCUUUCAAAAUAACUACAACUUUCAUCAACGGCACACUUGACUCUCGCAUCGCUGAAGAACG
rnacentral:misc_RNA from 1 species